AAGUGAAUCAGGGUCAGGGGAGGGCUGUGCUUUGCUUUGGAGCACUUCAAAUAUGGACCAGAGGAGUAGUGAAAUAUCCUCACUACUUGGUGUGGUUGUGGUGUGAUACUGAAUGAAAGGAAAAGGAGUUCUUGCCCUUCUUCCUCUGGAUCAAUACAUUUAAGGCACUGAACCAAAAGAACUAAAGGCAUACAUAAACUAUGGAUCACAAAAACGGUAUAACCGUGGAUGUUUAUUCCUUUCCGGAGUGCUCUCCCAUAACAGCAGCAAAGCAGUGGAAAUGUAACACAGACAACAGAAAUGACAUUCCCAAGGCAGCACUGAAGGAGGAUACCUGAUGGAAGUGCUGUUCUAUCUCAGCUCGACCGCCUGCCUGGGUCAGUGCCUCGCAAUGCCUGAC
ensembl:lncRNA